UACGGAGGAUGUAAGCGUUAUCCGGAAUUAUUGGGCGUAAAGCGAUCACAGGUGGACAAGCAGGUCUGGUGUUAAAUACCCACGGCUCAACCGGGGUGCCGCAUUGGAAACCGCUUGACUGGAGGGAGGCAAAGGCAGGUGGAAUUUCCAUUGUAGGGGUUAAAUCCGUAGAUAAUGGAAGGAACACCAAAAGCGAAGGCAGCCUGCUGGGCCUUUCCUGACACUGCUUGAUCGAAAGCGUGGGGAGCAAAAGGG
rnacentral:rRNA from 1 species